UAUCCGUAGGUGAACCUGCGGAAGGAUCAUUAUUGAAUAAACCUGAUGUGGUUGUAGCUUGCCCUUUCGGGGGCAUGUGCACACCCGUCGUCUUUAUCUUUCCACCUGUGCACCUUUUGUAGACCUGAAUGUAACACUUUCCGAGGCAACUCGGUCGGGAGGAAUGCUGUCAGCUUUCCUUGAAUGUCCAGGCCUAUGUUUGCAUAUACCCCAAAGAAUGUAACAGAAUGUAUUAUUGGGCCUUGUGCCUAUAAACUAUAUACAACUUUCAGCAACGGAUCUCUUGGCUCUC
rnacentral:misc_RNA from 1 species